CUGUCAUAGUAGCACAGUGCUUGUGUUCAAGUAACCCUUAUUUUACUUCGUGAUGGCCCCGAAGCGCAAGAGGAGGGAUGCUGGUGAUUCGGAUCUGCCAGAAAGAGGCUGCAAAGUGCUUCCUGUAAGCGAAAAGCUGAAAGUUCUCAAUGUAAUAAGGAAAGAAAAAGAAAUCAUAUGCUGAGGUUGCCGAGAUCUAUGGUACUCAGGGAGUUUUGAGAUCUUCCAAGAUGCCAUCAAGGAACUGAAAAGUGCUGUCCAGCUGCAGUGAGGGCUUUUUAAAGGCAGUUCCAUGUCUAUACCCCACUGAGUUCAGACUGUCCGAUGAACCACUGACAUUGUUACACAUGCGUAUUGUGGACAACCUGAGGAAACAUUGUCUGCGAGAAGAUGAAAUUAAAAUCAAGUGUGAUCCUACCACCGAAAGAUAAGCGUUACUGAUAUUGUUUGUUAAUAACAUUCCAGUUUUUUAUGUAGUUUUGGGGUAGCUUAUUAUUUUCAUGUGAUUUCAAACUUGGAGAAAGUUUCCAAGAUGAGUCCAAGGAGCUCUCAUAUGCUCCUCACCCAGAUCCACCAACUGGCCACAUUUUGUCCCAUUUGCUUUAUUAUUCCUUCUACCUCUCUCUCUCUAAAGUAUUAUUAUAUGUUAAAUAUAUCUUAAUAUAAUUAUAGUUAUGUUAAAUAUAUCUUAAUAUAGUUACAAAUAAUUAUGUUAAAUAUAUCUUAAUAUAAUUAUGUUAAAUGAUGUUAUGAAUAUUAAAAUUAUAAUUUAAGUAAUAUUCUAAUAUAGACAGACAUUUAGUUUCUGAACCAUUUGGGACCACGUUGAAAACAUCAUUUUCCUUUACACCGUUUUCCUUCAGUGCCAGAGGGGAGCAGAGCCGUGAGAGGUUGUUGGGGGAUCCUGGACCAGGAGCAUCCCCGUUUCCUAGAAUAAGAUAAUUCUCUUAAAUAACUACAGUACCCACAUAGAAAUCAGGAAAUUUAACAUUGACACUAUUGAUUAAUGCACAGCCCAUAAACAAAUUAUAUCAAUCCAAUAAUUUUUGUUUGUUUUUUUGUUUUUUUUUUUAGAUGGAGUUUCACUCUUGCUGCCCAGGCUGGAGUGCAAUGGCGCAAUCUCGGCUCACUGGAACUUCCACCUCCCGGGUUCAAGCGAUUCUCCUGCCUCAGCCUCCCGAGUAGCUAGGAUUACAGGCAUGUGCCACCACUCCUGGCUAAUUUUGUAUUUUUAGUAGAAACGGGGUUUCUCCAUGUUGGUCAGGCUGGUCGCGACCUCCUGACCUCAGGUGAUCCACCCUCCUCGGCCUCCCAAAGUGCUGACAUUACAGGCGUGAGCCACCACACCAGGCCCCAAUAAUUUUCUUUAUAGCAAUUUUAUUUCCUGGCUGAGCAUCCAGGCCAGCAUCCCCCAUUGCAUUGACUUUUCAGGUCUCUUUAGUCUCCCUUAAUCUGGAAUUGUUCCUCAGUCUUUAUCUUCCAUGAGCUUAGCAUUUUUAGAGAAUAUAGUCCAGUUAUUUUACAAGAUGCCCCUCAACUGGGGGUUGUCUGACAUUUCCUCAUUAUUAGAUCCAGGUGUUGCAUUUUGGGAAUACAAAAUCCCCAGAAGUGAUGUUGUGUUCUCAGCACGUCAUAGCAGGAUGCAGAUGAAGUGGGCCUGCCCCACCAUGGGUGGUGUUAAUGUUCACCACUUGGUUAAGGACAGAAUUUUUUUUUUUUUUUGAGACAAGGUCUCGUUCUAUCACCCAGGCUGGAGUGAAGUGGUGCAAUCAUAGCUCACUGCAGCCUCAAACUCCUGGGCUCAAGCAAUCCUCCUGCCUCAACCUCUUGAGUAGCUGGGACCACAGGUUAUAUCUUCUAGAAAAAGAGCAGGACCUGGAAGCAGGAGAGUUGAAAGGUCAAGAACACAUGCUUUGGGGUCAGGCAGACCUGCUGCUGAGUCCUGGCUCUGCUGGGGGACUUUGGUAGGGGCGGGGGGCCCACGUCACUGGGUCUCCGUUUUCUCAUCUGUAAAGUAGGAGAUAAUAGCAGGGUCCUGGUGAAGACUAAAUGAGACACUGUGUGCAAAGGGCCUGCUGCACAGCCCUCAGUCAGCGUUGCUUGUGACGGUUGUUUCGUUAUUGUCACUCAGUUGCCUGAGGGGAACAUUCAGAGAGACUUAUUGGCAGGACGUGUACAAAGAGGACAGAAGAGCAGAUACAGCCCUCCAAGAGUGAGCUGCUGAGGACGAGAGCUUCCGAAUGUCACCUGCUGCCAUGAGGUCAGCAUGGACGAGGGUCAGCGUGGAUCUCCGGUUCUACUAGGCUGCCAAAGUAGCAGAGACAAGCUUCAAUCCUAAGAUAUUUAGGACCUGACAAAUACCCCAUCUCAAGAACUUACGGAAACCUCAGCAUGGACAGCCUGGAGUGAAAGGACGCUUACUUCCUAGGAAGGGCAUUUCUGCUUGGGAAAUGCUCAGCUGUGCCUCAGUUUCCCUUAGUCUUCCUCUGAGCUGCAGGUGCUUGAGACUGAGAGGCUUUCCAGACUUCCCAGAGGGGCAGACUUGAUGGUGCUUCGUAUCUCCACACAAGAGCAACUAUUGUAGAUCCUCACCUCAGACAGUGCUGAUAGAAACACCCACACCUGCUCGCAGCGGGUCUGGGCUUUCCUAGUCAGUCAUUUUACCCUCAGGGUGUAGAGAUAGGAGAAUGAAACAAAGAUUGCACAGCCCUGGUGAAAAGGAGAAAUUCAGGGAGGAGGAAUGAGGGAUCCUCUUUCUUGUGUGUGGGUGUUAGCUUGCCUCCCAACCAC